AGAGUUUGAUCCUGGCUCAGAACGAACGCUGGCGGCGUGCUUAAUACAUGCAAGUCGAACGUGAAGCUGUAGUAAUACAGUGGAAAGUGGCGAACGGGUGAGUAACACGUAAGUAAUCUACCCCUAGGAUCGGGAUAACCUUGCUAACGCGGGGCUAAUACCGGAUGUGAUCUUUUUGACGCAUGUUAGAGAGAUUAAAGGAGCGAUCCGCUUAGGGAUGAGCUUGCGGCCCAUUAGUUUGUUGGCGGGGUAACGGCCCACCAAGACUGCGAUGGGUAGCCGGCCUGAGAGGGUGGACGGCCACAUUGGGACUGAGAUACGGCCCAGACUCCUACGGGAGGCAGCAGUAGGGAAUUUUGCGCAAUGGACGAAAGUCUGACGCAGCAACGCCGCGUGAGGGAUGACGGCCUUCGGGUUGUAAACCUCUGUUGGAUGGGAAAAAAUGGUAGUAAUACCUUGAUGGUACCAUUCGAGUAAGCACCGGCUAACUACGUGUUAGCAGCCGCGGUAAUACGUAGGGUGCAAGCGUUGUUCGGAAUCACUGGGCGUAAAGGGAGCGUAGGCGGGAUCGUAAGUUAGGAGUUUAAUGCAUGGGUUUAACCCAUGACUUGCUCUUAAUACUGCGGUUCUUGAGUAUGGGAGAGGGCGAUGGAAUUCCAGGUGUAGCGGUGGAAUGUGUAGAUAUCUGGAAGAACACUAGUAGUGAAGGUGGUCGCCUGGCCCAAUACUGACGCUGAGGCUCGAAAGCUAGGGGAGUAAACAGGAUUAGAUACCCUGGUAGUCCUAGCCGUAAAUGAUGAACACUAGUUGCCGGAGGAGUUAAUUUUUUCGGUGACGAAGCUAAUGCAUUAAGUGUUCCGCCUGGGAAGUACGCCCGUAAGGGUGAAACUUAAAGGAAUUGACGGGGGCCCGCACAAGCGGUGGAGCAUGUGUUUUAAUUUGAUGCAAUGUGAAGAAUUUUACCUAGACUUGAUAUGGGGGUGAAAUUCUGUAGAAAUAUGGAGUUUUCCGUAAGGAACACCCUAUAUAGGUGCUGUAUGGUUGUCGUCAGCUCGUGUUGUGAGAUGUUGGGUUAAGUUCCGUAACGAGCGUAACCCUCGUCCUUAGUUGUUAAUAGGUUAUGCUGAGAACUCUAAGGAGACUGCCUGGUUUUAACCAGGAGGAAGGUGGGGAUGACGUCAAAUCCUUAUGGCCUUUAUGUCUAGGGUUAGACACGUGCUACAAUGGCCGGUAUAAUGGGUUGUAAGUUGGUGAUGAUAAGUUAAUCCUUUAAAACCGGUCUCAGUUUGGAUUGAAGUUUGUAAUUUGACUUCAUGAGGCUGGAAUCGCUAGUAAUCGCGGAUUAGUAUGCCGCGGUGAAUAUGUUUUCGGGCCUUGUAUACACCGCCCGUCAAGCCAAGAAAGAUGGCAGUACCCGAAGUUGCUUUUUUAAUUGUAAGGAAGAGUGUGUUGAAGGUAAGGCUGUUGAUUGGGGCUAAGUUGAAAUAAGGUA
rnacentral:rRNA from 1 species